rnacentral:rRNA from 1 species
UGGGGAAUCUUGGACAAUGGGGGCAACCCUGAUCCAGCCAUGCCGCGUGAGUGAUGAAGGCCUUAGGGUCGUAAAGCUCUUUCGCCUGUGAAGAUAAUGACGGUAGCAGGUAAAGAAACCCCGGCUAACUCCGUGCCAGCAGCCGCGGUAAUACGGAGGGGGUUAGCGUUGUUCGGAAUUACUGGGCGUAAAGCGCACGUAGGCGGACCAGAAAGUUGGGGGUGAAAUCCCGGGGGCUCAACCCCGGAACUGCCUCCAAAACUAUUGGUCUAGAGUUCGAGAGAGGUGAGUGGAAUUCCAAGUGUAGAGGUGAAAUUCGUAGAUAUUUGGAGGAACACCAGUGGCGAAGGCGGCUCACUGGCUCGAUACUGACGCUGAGGUGCGAAAGUGUGGGGAGCAAACAGGAUUAGAUACCCUGGUAGUCCACACCGUAAAACGAUGAAUGCCAGUCGUCGGAUAGCAUGCUAUUCGGUGACACACCUAACGGAUUAAGCAUUCCGCCUGGGGAGUAC